rnacentral:rRNA from 1 species
AGCUAUGUGUUAUAAUACAUAGUUAUUUCUGCUCCAUGACAUGUUUAAUAGCCGCAGUACUCUGACUGUGCAAAGGUAGCAUAAUCAGUUGGCUUUUAAUUAGAGUCUCGUAUGAAUGAAUAUAUGGAAUACCGCUGUCUUAAAACAUUUAUAGUAAAUUAGUCGUAAGUGCAAACCCUUACAUGACUAUAAAAGACGAGAAGACCCUAGAAGCUUCACUAAUAUUUUGCUGGGGCGGCAGAACUACAGUUAACUAGUUUUAGAUGACGGGACGUAUACUGGCAGAUUAAGCUACUCUAGGGAUAACAGCAUAAUGUAAACGUUUGUGACCUCGAUGUUGGACUAGGUAUAAUACUCUUUAGAAGGGAGUAUAGUUAGCUCUGUUCGAGCUGUGUUACCU